CAAUAGCGUAUAUUAAAGUUGUUGCAGUUAAAAAGCUCGUAGUUGGAUUUGUGGCGUAUGGUGUGUUCCGGGCACUUGUUGUCUGAGUAACUUGUCAUUGCCAUCCUUGGGUGGAACCUGUGUGGCAUUAGGUUGUCGUGCAGGGGAUGCCCAUCGUUUACUGUGAAAAAAUUAGAGUGUUCAAAGCAGGCUUAUGCCAUUGAAUAUAUUAGCAUGGAAUAAUAAGAUAGGACUUUUUUGCUAUUUUGUUGGUUUGCGCGAGAAGGUAAUGAUUAAUAGGGAUAGUUGGGGGUAUUCGUAUUCCAUUGUCAGAGGUGAAAUUCUUGGAUUUUUGGAAGACGAACUACUGCGAAAGCAUUUACCAAGGAUGUUUUCAUUA
rnacentral:rRNA from 1 species